rnacentral:rRNA from 1 species
UACGGAGGGGGCGAGCGUUAUUCGGAAUUAUUGGGCGUAAAGGGCGCGUAGGCGGUGCGGUAAGUCACCUGUGAAAUCUCCCGGCUUAACCGGGAGGCUGCGGCGGAAACUGGUGUGCUAGAGGGUGGGAGAGGUAAGCGGAAUUCCUGGCGUAGCGGUGAAAUGCGUAGAUAUCAGGAGGAACACCUGCGGUGUAGACAGCUUACUGGACCACUUCUGACGCUGAGACACGAAAGCGUGGGUAGCAAACAGG